rnacentral:rRNA from 1 species
AUUGAACGCUGGCGGCAUGCCUUACACAUGCAAGUCGAACGGUAACAGGUCUUCGGAUGCUGACGAGUGGCGAACGGGUGAGUAAUAUAUCGGAACGUGCCCAGUUGUGGGGGAUAACUACUCGAAAGAGUGGCUAAUACCGCAUACGACCUGAGGGUGAAAGCGGGGGAUCGCAAGACCUCGCGCAAUUGGAGCGGCCGAUAUCAGAUUAGGUAGUUGGUGGGGUAAAGGCCCACCAAGCCGACGAUCUGUAGCUGGUCUGAGAGGACGACCAGCCACACUGGGACUGAGACACGGCCCAGACUCCUACGGGAGGCAGCAGUGGGGAAUUUUGGACAAUGGACGCAAGUCUGAUCCAGCCAUGCCGCGUGCGGGAAGAAGGCC